GCUGUCUUUCUGCAUGCAGAAGUCCGUGCAGGAGAAGCUGGAAAGGCUGGAGCAGCUCAAAGCAGAGUACAACGCGGUCUUGACACAUCUCCAACACCAAGACCAGGAGAUGCGGCAGGUGAAGCUGGAGACAGCUCAGCUGAGCAUGGAGGUGACCCAGUUGAAGGAGUGGUAUCAGGAGCAGAAGUUGGUGGAGCAGCUCAGAGCAGCA